rnacentral:rRNA from 1 species
GACGAACGCUGGCGGCGUGCUUAACACAUGCAAGUCGAACGGAAAGGCCCUGCGUUUGUUGCUUGCUCGAGUGGCGAACGGGUGAGUAACACGUGAGUAACCUGUCCUUGACUUUGGGAUAACUUCAGGAAAAUGGGGCUAUUAUCGGAUAGGAUCUCCUGAUGCAUGUUGUGGGUUGGAAAGUGUCGGCGGUUGGGGAUGGACUCGAGGCUUAUCAGCUUGUUUGUGUGGUAGUGGCUGACGAAGGCUUCGACGGGUAGCCUGCCUGAGAGGGUGACCGGCGACAAGGGGACUGCGAUACGGAGCAGACGGGUACGGGACGCAGUAGUGGGGAAUCUUGCGGAGUGGGGGGGAGCGUGAUGUAGCAACGCCGCGUGCGGGAUGACGGCCUACGGGUUGUAAACAGAUUUGUAAGGUGAUGUAGCGUGCGUGACGGUAAUGGGUAAGGAAGCAACGGCUAACUACGUG